rnacentral:rRNA from 1 species
AGAGUUUGAUCAUGGCUCAGGACGAACGCUGGCGGCGUGCCUAAUACAUGCAAGUCGAACGGUGGCCUUUCGGGGUCAUAGUGGCGGACGGGUGAGUAACACGUAGGUAACCUGCCCUGCAGUGGGGAAUAACUCUUCGAAAGAAGGGCUAAUACCGCAUAAUCUCUCUUCCGUGGGGAAGAGAGGAAAGCUCACGCAAGUGGGCGCUUUUGGAGGGGCCUGCGGCGGAUUAGCUAGUUGGUGAGGUAACGGCCCACCAAGGCGACGAUCCGUAGCUGGUCUGAGAGGACGGCCAGCCACACUGGGACUGAGACACGGCCCAGACUCCCACGGGAGGCAGCAGUAAGGAAUAUUCCGCAAUGGGCGAAAGCCUGACGGAGCGACGCCGCGUGAGGGAAGAAGCCCUUUGGGGUGUAAACCUCUUUUGUGGGGGAUGAGAAAGGACAGUACCCCGCGAAUAAGCCUCGGCUAACUACGUGCCAGCCGCCGCGGUAAUAC